CAGUAGCCGCGGGAAUACGUAGGGUGCAAGCGUUAAUCGGAAUUACUGGGCGUAAAGCGUGCGUAGGUGGUGGUUUAAGUCCGUUGUGAAAGCCCUGGGCUCAACCUGGGAAUUGCAGUGGAUACUGGGUCACUAGAGUGUGGUAGAGGAUAGUGGAAUUUCCGGUGUAGCAGUGAAAUGCGUAGAGAUCGGAAGGAACAUCUGUGGCGAAGGCGACUAUCUGGGCCAACACUGACACUGAGGCACGAAAGCGUGGGGAGCAAACAGGAUUAGAUACCCCUGUAGUCCCUGUCUCUUAUAC
rnacentral:rRNA from 1 species